CUGAGAUUUUGCUCAGAUUGUGUUAGACACACUGGAGAGUUUAGAGCUGACGGGUGUUUCCGCUAAUAGCCUGGAAUAUCUUGUCAAAUUCGAUAAAGAAUCUUGGAGAUUGAAAGCUUCCCUUGUGAACGGCUGAAGUCGUGUAGCAUCGAAGCAUCGGUCAGGUUUUUUGAUUAUAGUGCACUUUUGGCCUGUGGUGCCUUGAAACCACCAGAUCAUCCUCUCCUGAACUUGGAUGGCGAGCCCCAGCCCAGAGCACCGAGUGAACUGGUAGAUUGUGAUCCGACUGGUCACUGGCUGUGAGACAUUGAAUGAAUAUUUGACAGUUGUAUCGAAAAGACUGGGUUAUUUAUGUUAUUUUAUUUUGUUGUUUUUUUCAAAAAACAAAGCGUGCAAUUUUUGUUUAUUUGUAAAUGUGGGUCCACAAAUGUUCACUAUAUUAAACCCUACUCUUUUUCAUA